rnacentral:rRNA from 1 species
CAGCCGCCGCGUUAAUACCGGCGGCCCGAGUGGCGGUCACUAUUAUUUGGCUUAAAGCGUCCGUAGCCGGGUUGGGAAGUCCUCCGGGAAAUCUGGCCGCUUAACGGUCAGAAUGCCGGAGGAUACUCCCAGCCUAGGGAGCGGGAGAGGCCGAGGGUAUUCCCGGAGUAGGGGGGAAAUCCUAUAAUCCCGGGAGGACCACCUGUGGCGAAGGCGCUCGGCUGGAACGCGUCCGACGGUGAGGGACGAAGGCCAGGGGAGCAAACCGGAUUAGAUACCCGGGUAGUCCUGGCGGUAAACGAUGCGGACUUUGUGUCGGACAAGCUAUGAGCUUGUCCGGUGCCGGAGGGAAACCGUUAAGUCCGCCGCCUGGGGAGUACGGCCGCAAGGCUGAAACUUAAAGGAAUUGGCGGG